rnacentral:lncRNA from 1 species
AUGUCACCAUUAGGGAUUCAUUCUUUUGUGUUGACCAGGUGCAGUAUUAAAAUACAGAUUACGCUCUUUCCCUUUGGCACGCCACUGAAGAUCCUGGUGUCGCCAUGGGCCGCCGCCCCGCCCGGUGUUACCGGUAUUGUAAGAACAAGCCGUACCCAAAGUCCCGCUUCUGCCGAGGUGUCCCUGAUGCUAAGAUCCACAUCUCUAAGAAGUGGGGAUUUACCAAAUUCAACGCGGAUGAAUUUGAGAACAUGGUGGCAGAAAAGCGACUCAUCCCAGAUGGCUGUGGGGUCAAAUACAUCCCUAAUCGUGGUCCCCUGGACAAAUGGCGGGCCCUGCACUCAUGAGCAUCAGCGCUGUCCCCUCCUUAAUCAUGCUCACCAAUAAAUGCUAUUUCCUGUCAAAAAAAAAAAAAAAUACAGAUUAAUUGGGGGAAGUCCAUGCGUCAUGCUUUCACCACAUGAAGGGAAGAAGGCCAUGGGUCAGUGGUUCUUGACCCUGGCUAUAUGUUAGAGUCACAUGGGACAUGCUUCAGAAUAUCGAAACUAAGUCUCUUGGAGACAGAGCCUAGGCAUCCAGAGUUAGGAAAAGCUCUCCAGGUCCUUCUGAUGCAAUAUGAGUACUGAACACUACUUCCCCAGGCAAGUUUUCACCUACUGAAAUGUACCAGGAGACACACCACUGACUACUCUUUGUGGAUUGCCCACAGAGAGGCCAGGGACUGUUUAGUCUGGGGGCUGCACCACUCUCUCCCUUGGCUGAGCUCUGUUGUCUGGCCAAGGAUCUGGGCCAGGUGUGAGGUGGAUGCCUCAGUCUACCUGUGGUUUCUCAGUUUUCCUGGUGUAGGGACUGUAGAAAGGACUCUGGAUUCUAUGGAGAAGAGAAGAACUGGCUGAUGAUAAGUGAGCACAGAUGUGUAGCCAGGACACUGAGCAGAAAGAUGCCUGGCAGAUGGGAAGAUGCUCUAACUCAGAAAUCAGGAGUAAGUAACAAGCAUAUUCCAGUCCUCACUGCCUCAGCCCACAGCAGGCCUCAAAGGAUCCAGGGAAAAUGAAAAUUAAUGGCGUGGGGAAAUAAUCAGCGGUGAGUCCCACUUUUGUUAAUAACCACCCUCCAUCAUGGGUAGAAUGAGACAGAACAUUCAUUCAAGGCCAAGGUCACCUUGAGAAAGGAGGGCAGGAGCCUUUGAAGGGUCUCUCUCCAGCCUGGGGCCUCACCAGGUCAUGGAAGAUGGUCUCAGAAAUGCGAUGUCCUUUUUGAGCUUUCCUGACCUGAGAUGGCUUUAAAGACUGGCUCCACUGAUAGAACGAGAAGGUCCAUCAGGUCCCUGGCACUAAGCAGUCAGCCCUGCCCACUGCCCCACGCCUCUGCCUUUGCUCCCAGGAUUCUUCCACUCUCCUGUCUUUAACCCCACCCUUCUAGCCCCUGCUGCCUUGUCCCCACUACGUGUGUGUGUGGGUGUGUGUGGGUGUGUGUGUGUACUCAGUCAUUUCAGUCAUGUCUGAUUCUAUAUGAUUCUAUGGACGAUAGCCCACCAGACUACAGUGGAUGGGAUUCUCCCCAUGGGAUUCUCCAGGUAAGAACACUGGAGUAGGUCGCCGUGCCCUCCUCCAGGAGAUCUUCCCCAUGAAGGUAUUGAACCCACAUCUCCUGCAUCUCCUGCUUUGGAGGCAGAUUCUUUACCCUCUGUGCCACCUAGGAAGCCCCCCACUGCCAGAGUCAUCAUGAAAACAGAGAUGCUUUGAGGUCAAAGCUGCAAGCAGGUGGGGCGGUCAUCAGCCUCUGCGCCCGACACUGCCUCCCAAGACCUCCACAUCUAGUCUGGCGAUACCAUCUCACUGCCAACCACCCCCACCCUGCCAGCUACCUCAAAAAUCACAAGGCCCUGUAGACAAACAUCUCUCCCGGGGUGGCUCUUCGUUUCCAAAACCAUUGUCUUUUCGCAUGUGCUUACUCAGCCUCCCCACAGUGCUGUGUUGCCUGGUGGUGGGAGAGAUGAGCAAACAGAAGCCUCCCAUGGUGGGUCUUUGAUGUGUGCUCUUGGGAGCUGGGAGCAGUUCAGGGCCCGCCAUGGACCCUGCCGUGUGGCUCAUCUAGCUCUUGCAGGCAUGGGGCAUGAUGGUUAGCCUGCCUAUGAGGUCACAGGUCAGCAGGGCAAGUGAAGAUUGUCUGCUAUUUCCCACGUGCCAUGCACCCGGAGGAGGCCUUGACACAUGGUAUCUCAUUUAUUCUGCACACCAAGCCUUGGCUAAGUACAUACAGAUUCAUCAUGAAAGCUUGGAUUCUGGAGCCAGCCUGCCUGCCACUGACCAGCUGUGUGUCCUCCAGCAAGUGACUUAGUCUCUCUGGGCUUUCGAUACCUGUAACUGAUCUGUAAAAUAUAAAUAACAGCACCUUGCAAACAUGGUUGCUGUAAAGCUUCAGUUAGCUCUCUCUAAUAGAGAGAGAGAGACAAAGAGUAUUUAAAACAAAGCCAACCUAACUGUCCAUCAACAUAAGAAUGGAUAAAGAAGAUAUGGUCCAUAUAUACAAUGGAAUAUUACUCAGCCAAGAAAAUGAAACUGAGUCAUUUGUAGAGACCUGGAUGGACCUAAAGACUGUCAUACCGAGUGAAGUAAGUCAGAAAAAGAAAAUCAAAUAUCAUAUAUUAAGCGUAUAUAUGGAAUCUGAAACAAUUGGUAUAAAAGAUCUUAUUUAUAAAGCAGAAAUAGAGACAGAGACAUAGAGAACAAAUGUUUGGAUACCAGGGGGUAAAGGGAGGUGGGAUGAAUUGGGAGACUGGAAUUGAAAUGCAUACAGUACUCUGUAUAAAAUAGAUAACUAAUGAGAAUCUCUUAUAUAGCACAGGUAACUCUGCUAGGGGCUCUGUAGUGACCUAAAUGUGAAGGAAAUCCAAAAAAGAGGGCAUAUAUGUAUGAAAGUGAAAGUGAAAGUGUAGUCGCUCAGUCUUGUCCGACUCUUUGUGACCCCAUGGACGGUAGCCCACCGGGCUCCUCAUCAUGGGAUUCUCCAGGCAAGAAUACUGGAGUGGGUUGCCAUUUCCUUCUCCAAGGGAUCUUCCCGACCCAGGGAUCAAACCCAGGUCUCCCACAUUGCAGGCAGACACUUUAACCUCUGAGGUAUAACUGUAGCUGGUUCAUUUUGCUGUACAAUAGAAACUAUACUCUAAUUAAAACAUUUCUUUAAAUAACAUUGCUUCUAAUAGAGAACGCAAACAAAGCCAAGAGUGUUAGUCUGCUCAGGUUGCUGUAAUAAAAUAUAUAGACUGGGUAGCUGAGACAACAUAAAUUUAUUUCUCAUAGUUUCAGAGGCUGGGAAGUGCAAGAUCAAAGUGCUGGCCAAGUUAGCUCCUGGAGAAGCCUCUCUUCCUGGCCUGCAGACAGCCACCUUCUCACUGUGAUCUGGCCUUUCUUCUGUGCUCACAAGGAAAGAGAGAUUCAAUGUCUCUUUUUCUUCUUAGAAGACACCAACCCUUGGGACUUUUCUGGUGGCCCAGCGGUUCAAGAAUCUGCCUUCCAAUGCAGGGGACAUAGGUUCAAGCCAUGGUCAAGGAACUAAGAUCCCACAUGCUGUGGAGCAACUUAGCCCAGAUACUGCAACUACUGAGCUUGUGUGCUCUGGAGCCCACAGGCCACAACAGAGAUCCUGUGUGCUGCAACUAAGACUCAAUUCAGCCAAAUAAAUAAAUAAUAAGACACCGAACCUAUCGGGUUAGGGCCUCACCCUCAUGACCUCAUUUAACCUUAACUACCUCCUCAAGAGGCCCUAUCUGGAAAU